CACCGCCAACCUACCUACCACUGCCAAUCUACCUACCGCUGCCAACCUAUCUAUCACUGCUAAUCUAUUGCUGCUAAUCUAUCGCUGCUAAUCUAUCACUGCUAAUCUAUCACUGCUAAUCUAUCGCCGCCAACCUACCUACCACUGCCAAUCUACCUACCACUGCCAACCUACCUACCGCUGCCAAUCUACCUACCACUGCCAACCUAUCUAUCACUGCUAAUCUAUCGCUGCUAAUCUAUCACUGCUAAUCUAUCACUGCUAAUCUAUCACCGCCAAUCUACCUACCACUGCCAACCUACCUACCACUGCCAACCUAUCUAUUGCUGCUAAUCUAUCACUGCUAAUCUAUCACUGCUAAUCUAUCACUGCUAAUCUAUCACCACCAACCUAUCUACCGCUGCCAAUCUAUCUACCACUGCCAACCUAUCUAUCACUGCCAAUCUAUAUAGGGUAAAUCAUGAUCCCAUUUGAUUCCAUUUUGUAAAAUGGAAUCAAAUGAGAUCAGAAUCACUAAUUUAUUAGUAAAACAUAAUCUGAGACUAGAUUUAUAAUAUAAACAGUGUAAAGUGAUUAAUUUGCUAAACACUAUAUGAGAUCAGAACUAAGAUAUUUAAUAAUGAAACUGAGGAAAAAUUUGAUCCCAGUUUCAUGCAUGGUCACACAGUC
rnacentral:sRNA from 2 species